rnacentral:rRNA from 1 species
AACGAACGCUGGCGGCAGGCCUAACACAUGCAAGUCGAGCGGCACCUUCGGGUGUAGCGGCGGACGGGUGAGUAACGCGUGGGAACGUACCCUUUGCUACGGAAUAGCCUCGGGAAACUGGGAGUAAUACCGUAUGUGCCCUUCGGGGGAAAGAUUUAUCGGCAAAGGAUCGGCCCGCGUUGGAUUAGGUAGUUGGUGGGGUAAUGGCCUACCAAGCCGACGAUCCAUAGCUGGUUUGAGAGGAUGAUCAGCCACACUGGGACUGAGACACGGCCCAGACUCCUACGGGAGGCAGCAGUGGGGAAUCUUAGACAAUGGGCGCAAGCCUGAUCUAGCCAUGCCGCGUGAGCGAUGAAGGGCCUUAGGGUUGUAAAGCUCUUUCAGUGGGGAAGGAUAAUGACGGUACCCACAGAAGAAGCCCCGGCUAACUCCGUG